rnacentral:rRNA from 1 species
UACGUAGGUGGCAAGCGUUGUCCGGAUUUACUGGGCGUAAAGGAUGCGUAGGCGGACAUUUAAGUCAGAUGUGAAAUACCCGAGCUUAAUUUGGGUGCUGCAUUUGAAACUGGGUGUCUAGAGUGCAGGAGAGGUAAGUGGAAUUCCUAGUGUAGCGGUGAAAUGCGUAGAGAUUAGGAAGAACACCAGUGGCGAAGGCGACUUACUGGACUGUAACUGACGCUGAGGCAUGAAAGCGUGGGGAGCAAACAGG